rnacentral:rRNA from 1 species
GAUGAACGCUGGCGGCGUGCUUAACACAUGCAAGUCGAACGAAGCACUCUAUUUGAUUUUCUUCGGAAAUGAAGAUUUUGUGACUGAGUGGCGGACGGGUGAGUAACGCGUGGGUAACCUGCCUCAUACAGGGGGAUAACAGUUGGAAACGACUGCUAAUACCGCAUAAGCGCACAGGAUUGCAUGAUCCGGUGCGAAAAACUCCGGUGGUAUGGGAUGGACCCGCGUCUGAUUAGCCAGUUGGCAGGGUAACGGCCUACCAAAGCGACGAUCAGUAGCCGACCUGAGAGGGUGACCGGCCACAUUGGGACUGAGACACGGCCCAAACUCCUACGGGAGGCAGCAGUGGGGAAUAUUGCACAAUGGGGGAAACCCUGAUGCAGCGACGCCGCGUGAGCGAAGAAGUAUUUCGGUAUGUAAAGCUCUAUCAGCAGGGAAGAAGAAUGACGGUACCUGACUAAGAAGCAC